rnacentral:misc_RNA from 1 species
GCUUUCACCAGAUCGGCUUCUGAAUGAGCUGCUGAGACAAAUAAUCUAAUUCCAAUUGGCAGCUUACAUUUAUCAAGAGUGGAUCUCUUUGAAGUCACAAUGAAGACACCGUCUUCCUUCAAGACAUGAUCAGCUAUAUCUUCAAGCACUUGUAGAUCACCCUUUGAAGAACCAGUGGACUGCUUUAAUGCAAGGAAUAUAAUGGGGGAGAGGGGAUCGUUGACUAUCUCUAAGCUUUUUAUAUCUGACAGACCUUUAGUCAACAGAGCAAUAUUUUGCCUCAGUUUGACAAGAAGUUCAGGUUUUUCUUCCACGAUAUCAAUAGCCUUAAUUGUAGCACUUGCUAAGUAAGGAGGCAGUGAAGCAGAGAAGACAUAACCAGAACUACUGAGACGCUGGUGUUCAAUCACUCUAGCAUUCCCUGUGCAAAACCCACCUUCUGUGGCCAAUGCAUGUCCCAUCGCCGCAGUUAUUAUAUCUAUCUUGUCAGACGGAACUUUACAAUGUUCAGUUAGACCUCUACCAGAACUGCCAAGCACACCAAUGGAAUUGCUCUCAUCCAACAACACGCGGAAUCGAUA